rnacentral:lncRNA from 1 species
UUGGACAACCAAACGAAAUCAAAGUCCAGCCUGGCCUUGUUCAAAUACAAUAAAUUUUCCAACAUUGGGUCCAGGCUGGUGCAACAAAAUGAAGACAAAAAAAAAAAAAAUAAGCUGCAACUUCAGCAAAUUUAGAUGCUACACAACUAUUGCACCAUUUUCAAAUUACAUACAGAAAUUGGAGACCUCGGUAAGGCACGGUGCCAAUAAAUGAACAACGAAAUAUAAAAACAAGCAAAGUCAAUUGUAUG